rnacentral:lncRNA from 1 species
ACGUUGGAGGCCUUGAUGUUGCCAUGAACAAAUCUCACCUUGCUCUCGGUAUGAAUAUGUGCCUCUCCUCUUGCUCCCAGGGCGAUCUUCGACCUGGCUUCCCAGUCUCUCCUCUCCCAUCUUCCCUGAAAGGAGCUGAGGUAGUAUGGGAUGUAUGUCUACUUCGUUCAAUCACGUGAAGAGUUUAAAACGUCAGAUAUUAACCAUCAGACCACAAUACAAUUAACUGGAUUGUUUCUUUUUGUCUAUACUCUAUACACAGCUUUUGAUUUCUCUGUUUGUUUUCUUAUGCCCUAUUAGGAUUUAUGGAAUCAGUGUGAAUUUAGGUACCUAAUCGAUCAAUCAGUCAGGUAGGCACAGUGGGUUCAAGAAAGCAAUGAGAUUUGAUAGGCUUGGGUUGCAGUCUGUACCUUGUAUACAUGAUUGUUUUACCUCCAGUUAUAUAUAAGCACCUGCAGAUGGUUCUAAAACUGUCAUUGUUGUUGUGGAUUUACCCACCGAGGCCUGAUUCAGGUUAGCUUUAGCUAUAGCAGAAUGUAUAGUAUCUGAACCCCAAAAGGGAUUCGUACGUUGUUACCCUGCUUGUUGCCUUGCCAAGAGCUGUACACUGACUCUGGCGUAUUUGUACCACAGGAUGCUGGCAUCGCUGGCCUGAACAGCAAGAUGCACAUGAAGAUCCUGUUGAAAUGAAUGACUGAAAGCAGCAGCGCCGGCGCAUCACCGUCAUCCAGUCGCCGUUAAGCCUUGGCGUGGUGGUUCUUGUGGGGAUCUUAAUGUUGCUUUGUGGAUCGAUGGAGCAAGAAGGACGGGGGAGGUUAUUGCCUUGGUCAUGGUGAUCCCAAGUAGAACUGUGACGAACCUUGUAAAAAGCAUUUUUUUUUUAUGGACUGGAAUAACCUGAAAGCAUCACGAUAGCAAUGUUGCUGUUUUACUCAUACAUCAGCUGAUUUUGCUUUUGGUC